CUGUUUAUAUGUUCCCUUCAAGCACAUAAACGAAGGUGGCCUUCAGAUCAUGAGCAGAUCAUUUCUGUGCAGGACUGUUGACUCUUUCUUCUCUUGUUCAUGAAGAAUCCUCUGGAGUGGUCCCUUGUUUGAGGGAGAAAAGCAAGCAUAUCAUACUCGGAAGAAAACAACUCCCGGCUGAAACUAAGAAAACCUUGUUUUAAGACCUAGUGUGAACUGUGAGGCAGAUGAGCUGAAUAUCCUCCAGAGAAAUCUGCGCAAUCCCGUGUACUCAGGUUAUCCCCGUUGUUAAAACUGACCACUGCAUGGCACUGUUGCACCAGUGUCGCUGCAGCAUCAGGCGAGAGUGCAGGAAAGCAUCUCUAGUUCUUCCACUCGGUGUCUACAGCCCCCUGCUGUAUGAACAGCUCAGAACAGGGCACGUACUGCAAUGUGGGAGCAGGUCCUACCUCUUCCCAUCCUCUUUUCCUCCACCCAAAACCUGGUAAGAGCAUCGUGUUCGACGUGAUGGGAUUUGAAAACUUGGAUAAGAAGUACUUCACAGACUGUCCUUGAAGCUUGCCAUCACAUGGAUGUGCCACAACUCAUUCUUCUGGGCCGGGGCUAGUGUGUGUGAUUAUCCUUUCACAUACACACAUGUCCUUCCCCUGAAGAGAAUGCCUUGACAAAAACAAAGACUGAAGCUAUAAAACUAAUGUGCAACAUCUGGAUGACUGAAUUGUUCCAGUUAAUGAGAUUCAGAGUUUCAUCACAAAUAAAAAGGAAUACUUUUAAAAUAAAUGUCAGAUUUGUUGACUUCAGGGGAUUCACUUCUCAUCACAUAGAGCUGUAAUGGCUCCAGAUCUCUUGAAAGGACCCCUGAUCUGGUCUGACAGAAGCAAAAGGAGAGCAGAGAGCCUUUUGCUGCUGGAGAUACCCCAUGUUCUAUCUCUGGCAUAUCUGUUGUCCCUGAACUUCUGUAUACGUUGUUGUCCACAUCUACAAAAGAUUCUGUAAAUGCAGGGGUCUUUCUGCUGCAGACACACUGCAUUUGUGCUAAUUGCUAGACGGUCUACCAACCUUUCUAAGCUCUUUGUGACAAGCUUAAUGAUUAUAAAAAAGGAAUUGUCUGUUAUGGGUAAGACCAUAAGGGAGAAAAGACUCAGUAGAUAACUCUACAAGGCCUAUUUACAGCACUACUCAGACUGUCUGCUAGAAAUGCUAUGACAGCAUCUUCAAUCAAGUAGUCUGGUGAGCAAUCCAGAACACUCUUUAUUCAGGGAUGGCACGUCUCCAUACUGAAUAAAUAAGACAGUUCAGUUGACACAGAUAGGCCCUGUGAUUAAUUUCCAUGGACCCUACAUGGAGUCAAUAUUUGGUACCCAGGCAGUAGCUGUUCAAAUUGCAUAUCUGUCUCUUAAAUCAAGACUGAACCAGCUUUCAGCAACUAUCAUAGGUACUCUGAAUGUACCCUUACACACAGAGAGAAAGCACAUAAAUUUGAACCCACUGGGACUUUGUGUUCAAAACUACCUGUAUUUUAUGACACAUGCUUCCUAAAAAUCCGGACUAGUCAGAUGUUUGCAAGUCGCUGAAAGAAAAUAAACUAACCUGUCGAUUUAAACAUAUUAGUAGCUUCUGUCAACGCUAGCACACUGUGAGUCAGUCAUGGAGAUGAGAGACAUACAAAAUAGAUAGGAAAAUUGGAUGUUAUCCUGCACACUGCUGGGUACAAUCACUAAUAUUUUCUUAACGAAAAAUACCUUUCUCCUCUCUUCGGCAGCCUCCAGCUUUUUCUGGAUCUCCUCAAGGGAGAGCUCUUUCUUCUUUGGAGAGGCUAAAGUUCGUGGUGCUUCCGAGACUGGGGAUGGUGGCUUUAGGAUCAGUUCAAAAGCCUGGCCCGAGGCACGUUUGUUGAUUUGUUUAACUUCCAUGUCUGCACAAUAAAGUGAGAAGUGGUAAGCACUUCAAUACUGUGGUGGUGUUAAGGAGAGAAGCAGUACAAAAAUUAGUGUAGGAUCAGAAAUACAGACAAAUGAUUUAGCAUCUUUGCUGUGGGCAUUUCAAAGAAAAUGGCAGAUUAUGGGCUGAAAAUUGUCCUUGGGAGAAGUACAUCCCAUUUUACCUGCAAUAGUUUAUUUAUACACGAACCCUAUGAAGAUAAAAAUUUACAGCAGUUUUGGAAGCUUACUGGGGUUCUGUGUCAUUUCACACUUCCAGCAAGCUCUGCCCAAACGGAUUAAAUUUUAAGCAUGCUUUCAUCUUUUCUGGGUUUCUUUGGGAACUAUGAUGUCAGCUGCGAAGACGUAAUUCUCACAUGGGAAGCACUUCUUCCCAUGUACUAGGAAAAAUACAGCACCAUAUGAAAGAUACAGCUUUAGGAGUUUAGCCAGUUGCUAUUAGAAAAAAUAUCAAGCAUCAUGAGUAAUAAUACACAGUCAAUGAGGCAAUAGCCCAAAUCAGCAAAAGAAGUGGUUAAAUAAGCAAAAUAUUCUCUGUCUAACAUUAGGUACCAGGAUGGUGAACUGAGUCACGUCCCAACAUUAGCACUUUAUCUGACCUGCAGGUGAAAGUUACUCACCAUCAUAUUUAUAGAUGUUCAUGUUGCGAGGUUCAGGAUAAAAACAGGAGCAGAUCAGAGAGAGCAUGGACAGCUCCUUCAUCUUUUCCUUGUAAGCUGAAACAAGAGAACUUGUUAGCAAACUCCCCUUCUUCAGCUUCUCCUUAGUGAAUCUCUAACCGCGAUGACUGACCAUGGACCAGCAAAUCUGCUUCAUAACCCACCUGGCAGAUUUAUCCAGAAUAUUUAUUUUGUUUCUUCUGAACAUGGAGUCUUUAUCACAUCAAAUAUGAGAUGUUCAGUACUGAAUAAACUGCUUCUGUUGUCAUGCAUGACCUCAGCCUUGGCUCAAAUGCAUGCAGUCCUCUUUCAGUAAAAGAAAGUGAAUCUAGCUACCAGGAAAUGUAUUUAGCAUUGGAAGAGUGCCAUGACCCCACUAUCUCCUGGCAGGUGGAAAUAAAUGAAGCUCUUACAAAUUUCUAUGACGUCUCCAAAUGCAAUUGGGAACAGCUCUGAAACAUUGCCCAUGUGUUGCCAUAGGCAGAUGCUAAACUCAUUAUCUGCAACAAAUGAAAAUGUCAUCCAGAUAAUUAAAAAUAUAGCCAGAAAUGAGGAUCCAUUUAUAAAAUCCUUAGCAUAAUGUCCUUAAUAUGAGAAAGUACUUGAAACAAAGAAGUAUUUCCCUGUUCAAUUCCUGUACUGUCACUUUGCUUCCAUAUUCAGGCCUACUGAAUAUCAGCUGAUGCAAUAAACACACUUCCAAUUUAC